rnacentral:rRNA from 1 species
GAACGUUUCCUUCGGGGAACUAUUAAACUGGCGCACGGGUGAGUAACACGUGGAUUAUCUGCCCUUAACACAGACAUAACCCAGGGAAACUUGGAUUAAUAUCUGAUGAGGCCUCCGGGUCAAAGCUACGGCGGUUAAGGAUGAGUCUGCGUAUGAUUAGCUAGUUGGUAAGGUAAUGGCUUACCAAGGCGACGAUCAUUAACUGGUCUGAGAGGACGAUCAGUCACACUGGAACUGAGACACGGUCCAGACUCCUACGGGAGGCAGCAGUGAGGAAUUUUGGACAAUGGGGGAAACCCUGAUCCAGCGAUGCCGCGUGAGUGAUGAAGGCCUUAGGGUUGUAAAACUCUUUCAGAUGGGAUGAUAAUGACAGUACCAUCAGAAGAAGCUCCGGCUAACUCCGUGCCAGCAGCCGCGGUAAUACGGAGGGAGCUAGCGUUGUUCGGAAUUACUGGGCGUAAAGCGCGCGUAGGCGGCUUUGCAAGUAGGGGGUGAAAUCCCGGGGCUUAACCCCGGAACUGCCCUCUAAACUGCAGAGCUAGAAUCCUGGAGAGGUGAGUGGAAUUCCUAGUGUAGAGGUGAAAUUCGUAGAUAUUAGGAAGAACACCAGUGGCG